rnacentral:rRNA from 1 species
GAUGAACGCUGGCGGCGUGCCUAAUACAUGCAAGUCGAGCGAACAGACGAGGAGCUUGCUCCUCUGACGUUAGCGGCGGACGGGUGAGUAACACGUGGAUAACCUACCUAUAAGACUGGGAUAACUUCGGGAAACCGGAGCUAAUACCGGAUAAUAUAUUGAACCGCAUGGUUCAAUAGUGAAAGACGGUUUUGCUGUCACUUAUAGAUGGAUCCGCGCCGCAUUAGCUAGUUGGUAAGGUAACGGCUUACCAAGGCAACGAUGCGUAGCCGACCUAGAGGGUGAUCGGCCACACUGGAACUGAGACACGGUCCAGACUCCUACGGGAGGCAGCAGUAGGGAAUCUUCCGCAAUGGGCGAAAGCUUGACGGAGCAACGCCGCGUGAGUGAUGAAGGUCUUCGGAUCGUAAAACUCUGUUAUUAGGGAAGAACAAAUGUGUAAGUAACUAUGCACGUCUUGACGGUACCUAAUCAGAAAGCCACGGCUAACUACGUG